AGCUCAGAAGGACAUUACAGAGAACCAGAUUAACUGUUAGAAGAGGCAGACCUGCUCUCCAUGCCUCAGGGUAGCUUUAUGUGGCUAUGUAGAUGGAGACACGUUUUUGAAAGAGGAAGACAUUGUCAGGUAGCUUUAUGUGGCUAUGUAGAUGGAGACACGUUUUUGAAAGAGGAAGACAUUGUCAGAUUUCAAGUGGUACUGGAUUCCAACUAGCUUGCACAGUUUUUGUAAAAGCCCUCUGCUCUCCUGCCAGACCAAAAGGUGAUCUACGCAGACUCAUUGCAUCAUUGUUGAUACUUCUAAUGGAAUACGUAUCAUUUCCUCUCUCCACAGUGACCGACAUUAUAUUGUCCUCUUCCUGCAUAACCCUAUUCCAUAUCUGCCAUGCUGCUUCUCCUCCAGUUUUAUUGUUCCUGUCUUUUGUGUAGACUCAGUAAAACAAAGUCUCUAACCAGAUUUAUAGAAGACCCUGGCAGAAAGAUUGUGGAAAAGCACAGAGCUGUGUCUCCAAAAGUAUUUGUAAACAUUCCUUUUCAAAGCAUCACAGGUCAUAUGUUCAUCAGCCCUGAAAAAAAUGUUUCACCAUCAGCACAGUGGUUACAAAAUGUAUAGUGACACUAAUCUUUCACUGCAAGCAAGCCAAGAUGCCAGACUUUACCAGCUAUGGCCAGGUUAAGAGUGCAACUACUUUAAUUAGCCUGAAUGUUUUUCUCUUCAAGACAUGUGCUGUCACAUUGUAUACA